UAAGUUUGUUAUUAGUAUGAGCUUUCAUGUGCACGUAUCUGAAGAAGUGUGCAUGCACAUGAAAGCUCAUACCAAUAACAAACUUA